rnacentral:tRNA from 1 species
UCUGGGGUGGGUUAGUGGUUAAAGCUUAGGCAUUAUGACCGGAAGGUCUCGAGUUCGAGUCUCGUCAGAG